CUUAAAAUGCCUCUUAUCUCUAAUGAUCCUUCAAGGCUGGCAGGAAGUGAAAGUGAUGGUGGUGAAGACAUAUCCACGUAUGCCUUAGAUGUUCACCCAAAAUUGGAAAAGUUUCAGUGAGAAAAGGGCCAUCUGAAUCAUCUACCCGGAAUUCUUAUAAUCUUUUACUUGCAUCCCUUACCAUGCUGAGCUUGGUCAGGGUAGCAGAUGAAGCAAAGGGAGAAGGUUGGAUGUAAAGACUGGAUGAAGAACUGCAGAGUGAGAAAGCAAUGAGAAGGUAAGAGAGAAACACUCAUAUUGGAGAACAUCUUCUUUAAA